UGGAUAAAUGAUGGGAGGGGGAGGCAUAAGAAUCUUGGAUGAUCGACACUGCAGGUCUGGAACUCUGAGGGCCAA